UCCACUCCCCUGGGCGAUGUGGGAUCUAACACCCUAUGUUUUCUUUUCUUAUCUUUUCAUAAUAUUAUUUUCAUGUAUUUUAUUUCAAGCUUUAUUUAGUUUUCAGUUUAAUUCAACUCAUAUCUCUUUUUCGUUAAAACUUCUCAAUUAUAAUUUGUUUCAAUUUAGUUAGUAAGACUUUUAGGAUUAAUUCGAUCUUCGUGGAAUGAUAUAUGUGCUUAUAUGCUAUACUAUCAUAUGAU
rnacentral:lncRNA from 1 species